UUGGGGUGAGGUGUGUUAUGUCAGGAUGCAGGGGACACCUCGGGACUCUGAGGCUGGAUCCUCAGGUGAACCAGGACAUCCAAAGUGUGUAUUUCUGACAGAUGCCACCUGCCAUGACAUGAGCCUUCUGAUGGGAUGUUGUGGAAAGCACUGGGCACCACCUACAAAGGAGUAUUGCCACAAAUGCUGAGCCUGAACUGAGCAUUCCUGCCUGGGAAAUCCCAUGGACAGAGGAGCCUGGCGGGCUGUAGUCCAUGGCGUUGAAAAAGUUGGACAUGAUUGAGCAACUAAACAACAAUGAUAAAAACAA
ensembl:lncRNA